rnacentral:rRNA from 1 species
AGAGUUUGAUCAUGGCUCAGAACGAACGCUGGCGGCAGGCCUAACACAUGCAAGUCGAACGAUCUCUUCGGAGAGAGUGGCAGACGGGUGAGUAACGCGUGGGAACCUUCCCUAUGGUACGGAAUAGCUCCGGGAAACUGGAAUUAAUACCGUAUAAGCCCUUCGGGGGAAAGAUUUAUCGCCAGAGGAUGGGCCCGCGUCGGAUUAGCUAGUUGGUAAGUAAUGGCUCACCAAGGCUACGAUCCGUAGCUGGUCUGAGAGGAUGAUCAGCCACACUGGGACUGAGACACGGCCCAGACUCCUGCGGGAGGCAGCAGUGGGGAAUAUUGGACAAUGGGCGAAAGCCUGAUCCAGCCAUGCCGCGUGAGUGACGAAGGCCUUAGGGUUGUAAAGCUCUUUUGGCGGGGACGAUAAUGACGGUACCCGCAGAAUAAGCCCCGGCUAACUUCGUGCCAGCAGCCGCGGUAAUACGAAGGGGGCUAGCGUUGUUCGGAAUCACUGGGCGUAAAGCGCACGUAGGCGGACUGGUCAGUUGGGGGUGAAAUCCCGGGGCUCAACCCCGGAACUGCCUUCAAUACUGCCAGUCUUGAGUCCGAGAGAGGUGAGUGGAAUUCCUAGUGUAGAGGUGAAAUUCGUAGAUAUUAGGAAGAACACCAGUGGCGAAGGCGGCUCACUGGCUCGGUACUGACGCUGAGGUGCGAAAGCGUGGGGAGCAAACAGGAUUAGAUACCCUGGUAGUCCACGCCGUAAACGAUGAGUGCUAGCCGUCGGGUAGCUUGCUAUUCGGUGGCGCAGCUAACGCAUUAAGCACUCCGCCUGGGGAGUACGGCCGCAAGGUUAAACCUCAAAGGAAUUGACGGGGGCCCGCACAAGCGGUGGACAUGUGGUUUAAUUCGAAGCAACGCGCAGAACCUUACCAUCCCUUGACAUCCUCAACGCGAUUUCCGGAGACGGAUUUCUUCAGUUCGGCUGGUUGAGUGACAGGUGCUGCAUGGCUGUCGUCAGCUCGUGUCGGGAGAUGUUGGGUUAAGUCCCGCAACGAGCGCAACCCUCGCCCUUAGUUGCCAGCGUUCAGUUGGGCACUCUAGGGGAACUGCCGGUGAUAAGCCGGAGGAAGGUGGGGAUGACGUCAAGUCCUCAUGGCCCUUACGGGAUGGGCUACACACGUGCUACAAUGGCGGUGACAAUGGGUUAAUCCCCAAAAACCGUCUCAGUUCGGAUUGUCGCCUGCAACUCGGCGGCAUGAAGUUGGAAUCGCUAGUAAUCGCGUAACAGCAUGACGCGGUGAAUACGUUCCCGGGCCUUGUACACACCGCCCGUCACACCAUGGGAGUUGGGUCUACCCGAAGACGGUGCGCCAACCUCGCAAGAGGAGGCAGCCGGCCACGGUGGGUUCAGCGACUGGGGUGAAGUCGUAACAAGGUAGCCGUA